rnacentral:sRNA from 1 species
GGAUCAAGACCUAGAGCAACCAUUGGUCCCUACCGUGGAGGCAUUUGAACCAGGAACUUCUGAGGUUAAUCUGGAGCUGAGUGGCAGAAAGACUGAAACUAAGAAAAAAAUAUCAAGAAAACCGAAUUUGGGAAGAUCUAGAAUUAUCUACAUUGUGAGAUGCAAGAAGUGUAAGAAGAUCUACACUGGUGAGACCACGUACACAUUGGCGAAAGUCAGGUCCAGAUUUAUAAGCGAAGUACAGCGUGGAACAUCCCAGAGAAAGGUCGCGAUGCAUUUCCGGACUGCACCAUGUGGCGUGGAUGACAUUGAAUUUAUUGAGAAGAAACAAAUCGGCCACACUGACAGGAGAAUUAACCGAAAACGAAAGAUGAUACAAAAACACAAUAGUAAAGACAUGGGGCUUAACUCAGUAACUCCUAGAAAACGUAAAGUGGAUGUGACAUCCAGAUCUUCAGGUAAAGUCAAGAAACCAGACGCCAACCAACAAGACAUCAGAAGUUAUUUUAAUGUUAUCAAAAGAAAGAAAAGUUCCUCAAAAGCACUGAAGGAAACGCGCGAUUAAAAUAAACGAUUCUGUUUCUUUACAAACUUUGAGAAUUAAAGACAUUAAUUGAUC